UACGGCGACCGUACCACGUUGAAAGCACCGGUUCUCGGCCGAUCACCGCAGUUAAGCAGCGUUGGGCCCGGUCAGUACUUGCAUAUUCUUCAUCUAUUCAAGUGAUAUUUUUGUGUUUACACAU
rnacentral:rRNA from 1 species